rnacentral:lncRNA from 1 species
CUUAUUAUCAGUAACAAGUCAAUAAUAUCUCUCUGUUUAAAAAAAUAAUAAUAAAAAUAUUUUUCUAUUAACCAUAAUGAGACAGAUAAAUUUAAGAAAAAUAAUCUCAUUUAUUAAGAACAUCAUGUCAGUAAUAUAACUAAUGCAUUUAGAACUUUUCGUUGACUACACCCUUUAUUGAAGUACUCCUCUCUCUCUCUCUCUCUCUCUCUAGAUCUUUUAUGAUUGUUUUAGAUGGUAUAAGAGUUACAAGUAGGAGUAAAAGAAAUUUGGAUAAAUUUUGAUUUAAUCCGACAACGGAUUCGAUAGAAUGACAAUAUAUAUAGGGAGAAACUUCAAAAACCCCCCUGGGUUUCGUAGUUUUUUACUUUGACCCCCUGUGGUUUAAAAUGUAUCAAAUUGCUUCCUGUGGUUUCGUUUUUAUCUUUUCGAGCUUUUUCGUUAAUAUUUCAUUAAAUUAUUUACAAAAAACUUCAGAUACCCAUCUAGAUUUAUCAAAUAUUCACUUUAGUACCCUUUAAUUUUAACUUUAUCACUGAUUUAAGAAAAAAAAAUAAUAAAAUUGAUAAUAAAAAGAGAAAAAAGAAACCAUAUGGGGGCAAAUUGAUACAUUUUAAACAACAGGGGGGCAAAGUGAGAAACUACGAAAUUACGGAAAAGUUUUUCCU